rnacentral:lncRNA from 1 species
CAACAUUUUCCUACAGUGUUUGGAUUUACACCGAUAACAACCAGACGUAGGACCUUCAGGACUGAGCAAGGAGAAAAAUUCAGGAGGUUUGGGCCCACACGCGAAGCUGAGCAGAAAGGAGAGCCAGGCGGACAAAGAGAGGGUCCUGGGACACUUACGGGACCAGCGUCAGUCUCUCCAUCCGGGUUCCUAGAGCUCCUUCUUCAGGUCCACGAGCUGCCCUGAGCCACGCUGCAAAGAUGGAAUUGCAAGUGGUCAACCAGCCCUGGAGAUGGUUUUGGUGCCUGGAUCCUGGAGAUUUGUUUGGCCUCUUUGCCAAGGAAGAAAUUCAUCAUUAAAAAUGCAUACGGAGGGGACGCCUGGGUGGCUCAGUUGGUUAAGCGGCUGACUUCAGCUCAGGUCCUGAUCUCAUGGUUCAGUUCGCGAGUUCGAGCCCCCGCAUCAGGCUCUGUGCUCACAGCUCAGAGCCUGGAAUCUGCUUUGGAUUCUGUGUCUCCCUCUCUCUCUGCCCCUCCCCUGCUUAUGGUCUGUGUCUCUCUCUCUAAAAAAUAAAUAAAUGUUAAAAAAAUUUUUUUUAAUGCAUA